rnacentral:misc_RNA from 1 species
UUAACAGGGGACAAGAUGGAAACAACAAUUAAUAUAACUAAUGUUUUUCUUUUUUGGAAUCUUCUCUCUGGUGAUUUGCUGCAACUUGCAAGUUAAUUAACAAUGAGAAGAAACAAUAUAUUAUCAGUUCAGAAACUAAUGCAAUCAGAGAAGUUGAAAGGAAAGCAGGAGCUUUCUGUAGUUCCCUCCUAUUAUUGCAGUGGACAACUUGAUCCACAAAGAGCACUAAUUGUUUUGAAGAUUGGGCCACUAUGGUGCAU